AGAUUUGCGUAGUGGCGAUAUAGUAACCAAUGAGGUUUUACCGAUGUGCGAUUAUUGCUAGUUGAAAAAAUAGCCUAUUCAAUAGUCUAUCAUGUUUUCUACCAGAAAUUUGGAAAUGUUUUUUUCUGAGAAUGGUUUAUAUUA